AUUGAACGCUGGCGGCAGGCCUAACACAUGCAAGUCGAACGAGUGGCGGACGUGUGUGUAAUGUCUGGGACACUGCCUGGUGGAGGGGGAUCACUACUGGAAACGGUCGCUAAUCCCGCAUCCCAUCAGAUGUGCCCAGAUGGGAGUAGCUAGUGGGUGGGGUAACGGCUCACCAAGGCGACGAUCCCUAGCUGGUCUGAGAGGAUGACCAGCCACACUGGAACGGAGACACGGUCCAGACUCCUACGGGAGGCAGCAGUGGGGAAUAUUGCACAAUGGGCGCAAGCCUGAUGCAGCCAUGCCGCGUGUAUGAAGAAGGCCUUCGGGUUGUAAAGUACUUUCAGCGGGGAGGCGUUACCCGCAGAAGAAGCACCGGCUAACUCCGUGCCAGCAGCCGCGGUAAUUC
rnacentral:rRNA from 1 species